rnacentral:rRNA from 1 species
AUACGUAGGGGGCGAGCGUUGUCCGGAAUGAUUGGGCGUAAAGGGCGCGUAGGCGGCCCGGUAAGUCUGGAGUGAAAGUCCUGUUUUUAAGAUGGGAAUUGCUUUGGAUACUGUCGGGCUUGAGUGCAGGAGAGGUAAGUGGAAUUCCCAGUGUAGCGGUGAAAUGCGUAGAGAUUGGGAGGAACACCAGUGGCGAAGGCGACUUACUGGACUGUAACUGACGCUGAGGCGCGAAAGUGUGGGGAGCAAACAGGAUUAGAUACCCUGGUAGUCCACACUGUAAACGAUGAAUGCUAGGUGUAGGGGGUAUCGACCCCUUCUGUGCCGCAGUCAACACAAUAAGCAUUCCGCCUGGGGAGUACGGCCGCAAGGUUGAAACUUAAAUGAAUUGGCGGGG